AACGUAGGACACAAGCGUUAUCCGGAGUUACUGGGCGUAAAGAGCGUGUAGGCGGCCACGCAGGUCCGUUGUGAAAACUGGAGGCUCAACCUCCAGCUGUCGACGGAAACCGUAUGGCUAGAGUCCGGAAGAGGAGAGUGGAAUUCCUGGUGUAGCGGUGAAAUGCGCAGAUAUCAGGAAGAACACCAAUGGCGAAGGCAGCUCUCUGGGACGGUACUGACGCUGAGACGCGAAAGCGUGGGGAGCGAACAGG
rnacentral:rRNA from 1 species